CCGAACGUAAGGGCCGUGCUGAUUUGACGUCAUCCCCGCCUUCCUCGCAGCUUGCGCCGGCAGUCCACAUAGAGUCCCCACCAUAACGUGCUGGUAACUAUGUGCAGGGGUUGCGCUCGUUAUAGGACUUAACCUGACACCUCACGGCACGAGCUGACGACAACCAUGCAGCACCUCGUAUAAUGUUAUUGCUAACUAAUCUAAUCUCUUAAAUUAUUCAUCAUACGUUCAAGUUCGGGUAAGGUUCCUCGCGUAUCAUCGAAUUAAACCACAUGCUCCUCCGCUUGUGCGGGCCCCCGUCAAUUCCUUUGAGUUUCAACCCUUGCGAUCGUACUCCCCAGGUGGAUAACUUAUAUCUUUCAAUUC
rnacentral:rRNA from 1 species